GAUGAACGCUGGCGGCGUGCUUAACACAUGCAAGUCGAACGAUUGAAGCUGGAGCUUGCUCCGGCCGAUUUAGUGGCGGACGGGUGAGUAACGCGUGGGUAACCUGCCUCAUACAGGGGGAUAGCAGUUGGAAACGACUGGUAAAACCGCAUAAGCGCACGGUGUCGCAUGACACAGUGUGAAAACACUCCGGUGGUAUGAGAUGGACCCGCGUCUGAUUAGCUAGUUGGUGAGGUAACGGCCCACCAAGGCGACGAUCAGUAGCCGGCCUGAGAGGGUGAACGGCCACAUUGGGACUGAGACACGGCCCAAACUCCUACGGGAGGCAGCAGUGGGGAAUAUUGCACAAUGGGGGAAACCCUGAUGCAGCGACGCCGCGUGAGUGAUGAAGUAUUUCGGUAUGUAAAGCUCUAUCAG
rnacentral:rRNA from 1 species